GUUGCAGCUGGUUGGGAACUGGGGUUCGUUUCAUUUCCAUUACUGGAAGAUCCAUUAUGGACGAGUGCAGCAAAAUGAAGAGGACAUGCAUCACCUGUGCAUUGUGAGGGGAGUGGAGAAGCAGCUGUGGUGGAGCAGAGUCAUCCAGGAAAAAAUCCUGGACCCAUGGGGUCUCGUCCAGGUGGUCCUCACCAACAAGAAGCUGAUUGGUAUUAAGUUCCUUGGUAGAAGGAUCCAUGGACUCAUGUCCGGCCUUGUCAAGAGGAGGUCUGAGUUCACCUAUUAUGAGGAUGCCCAG